rfam:Rhodobacteraceae bacterium PD-2 genomic scaffold scaffold2, whole genome shotgun sequence.
CAGGCUACCCAGGGGUGUCCCGACAAGGGGCUGAGAUAUCGCUGGCGCUUCGGUCGCAGGGUCGUUGGGCAGCGCGGUGACCCUUUGAACCUGAUCCGGAUCAUGCCGGCGAAGGGACAGGAUCGCAGCGCCCUCU